rnacentral:rRNA from 1 species
UGUGUGUUAGUGGAAGCGUCUGGAAAGGCGCGCGAUACAGGGUGACAGCCCCGUACACAAAAAUGCACAUGCUGUGAGCUCGAUGAGUAGGGCGGGACACGUGGUAUCCUGUCUGAAUAUGGGGGGACCAUCCUCCAAGGCUAAAUACUCCUGACUGACCGAUAGUGAACCAGUACCGUGAGGGAAAGGCGAAAAGAACCCCGGCGAGGGGAGUGAAAAAGAACCUGAAACCGUGUACGUACAAGCAGUGGGAGCCUCUUAAUGGGGUGACUGCGUACCUUUUGUAUAAUGGGUCAGCGACUUAUAUUCUGUAGCAAGGUUAACCGAAUAGGGGAGCCGAAGGGAAACCGAGUCUUAACUGGGCGUUAAGUUGCAGGGUAUAGACCCGAAACCCGGUGAUCUAGCCAUGGGCAGGUUGAAGGUUGGGUAACACUAACUGGAGGACCGAACCGACUAAUGUUGAAAAAUUAGCGGAUGACUUGUGGCUGGGGGUGAAAGGCCAAUCAAACCGGGAGAUAGCUGGUUCUCCCCGAAAGCUAUUUAGGUAGCGCCUCGUGAAUUCAUCUCCGGGGGUAGAGCACUGUUUCGGCAAGGGGGUCAUCCCGACUUACCAACCCGAUGCAAACUGCGAAUACCGGAGAAUGUUAUCACGGGAGACACACGGCGGGUGCUAACGUCCGUCGUGAAGAGGGAAACAACCCAGACCGCCAGCUAAGGUCCCAAAGUCAUGGUUAAGUGGGAAACGAUGUGGGAAGGCCCAGACAGCCAGGAUGUUGGCUUAGAAGCAGCCAUCAUUUAAAGAAAGCGUAAUAGCUCACUGGUCGAGUCGGCCUGCGCGGAAGAUGUAACGGGGCUAAACCAUGCACCGAAGCUGCGGCAGCGACACUAUGUGUUGUUGGGUAGGGGAGCGUUCUGUAAGCCUGUGAAGGUGGCCUGUGAGGGUUGCUGGAGGUAUCAGAAGUGCGAAUGCUGACAUAAGUAACGAUAAAGCGGGUGAAAAGCCCGCUCGCCGGAAGACCAAGGGUUCCUGUCCAACGUUAAUCGGGGCAGGGUGAGUCGACCCCUAAGGCGAGGCCGAAAGGCGUAGUCGAUGGGAAACAGGUUAAUAUUCCUGUACUUGGUGUUACUGCGAAGGGGGGACGGAGAAGGCUAUGUUGGCCGGGCGACGGUUGUCCCGGUUUAAGCGUGUAGGCUGGUUUUCCAGGCAAAUCCGGAAAACCAAGGCUGAGGCGUGAUGACGAGGCACUACGGUGCUGAAGUGACAAAUGCCCUGCUUCCAGGAAAAGCCUCUAAGCAUCAGGUAACAUCAAAUCGUACCCCAAACCGACACAGGUGGUCAGGUAGAGAAUACCAAGGCGCUUGAGAGAACUCGGGUGAAGGAACUAGGCAAAAUGGUGCCGUAACUUCGGGAGAAGGCACGCUGAUAUGUAGGUGAAGCGACUUGCUCGUGGAGCUGAAAUCAGUCGAAGAUACCAGCUGGCUGCAACUGUUUAUUAAAAACACAGCACUGUGCAAACACGAAAGUGGACGUAUACGGUGUGACGCCUGCCCGGUGCCGGAAGGUUAAUUGAUGGGGUUAGCGGUAACGCGAAGCUCUUGAUCGAAGCCCCGGUAAACGGCGGCCGUAACUAUAACGGUCCUAAGGUAGCGAAAUUCCUUGUCGGGUAAGUUCCGACCUGCACGAAUGGCGUAAUGAUGGCCAGGCUGUCUCCACCCGAGACUCAGUGAAAUUGAACUCGCUGUGAAGAUGCAGUGUACCCGCGGCAAGACGGAAAGACCCCGUGAACCUUUACUAUAGCUUGACACUGAACAUUGAGCCUUGAUGUGUAGGAUAGGUGGGAGGCUUUGAAGUGUGGACGCCAGUCUGCAUGGAGCCGACCUUGAAAUACCACCCUUUAAUGUUUGAUGUUCUAACGUUGGCCCCUAAUCGGGGUUGCGGACAGUGUCUGGUGGGUAGUUUGACUGGGGCGGUCUCCUCCUAAAGAGUAACGGAGGAGCACGAAGGUUGGCUAAUCCUGGUCGGACAUCAGGAGGUUAGUGCAAUGGCAUAAGCCAGCUUGACUGCGAGCGUGACGGCGCGAGCAGGUGCGAAAGCAGGUCAUAGUGAUCCGGUGGUUCUGAAUGGAAGGGCCAUCGCUCAACGGAUAAAAGGUACUCCGGGGAUAACAGGCUGAUACCGCCCAAGAGUUCAUAUCGACGGCGGUGUUUGGCACCUCGAUGUCGGCUCAUCACAUCCUGGGGCUGAAGUAGGUCCCAAGGGUAUGGCUGUUCGCCAUUUAAAGUGGUACGCGAGCUGGGUUUAGAACGUCGUGAGACAGUUCGGUCCCUAUCUGCCGUGGGCGCUGGAGAACUGAGGGGGGCUGCUCCUAGU